AUGAAGAACCCAGUAUUUCACAUAUUAAGAAGAAUAAGUAUUCCAUAUCAGAAUUCUUUAGCUCCCAUCCCAAAAGAAGAAAAAUUACUGCCCAGCACAUUGAAAGCAGUGAUUCAGAGGAAAUUGAGACAAAUGAAUUGCCACACAAAAUAAAAGGUAGUAUGUAAUGGAUUUGAUUUGAUAAUGUGUCCUACAUUCUAAUCUCAUGUGCCCAUUUUUAUGCUUAUUUUGGUUUAAUUUUUAGGAAAACUGAAAAAUGUGCAGUCAGAGAAUAAAAGGCUAAAAGGUAUGUGCAUGUCUUCUCAGUCUUCAUAAUGUAUACUUAAAUAUUAUUGAAGUAAAAUCCCACUCAUUUGCAUCUACAUAGCUUAGAAAUUUUUAGUGAUAGGUCUUCAGUUUGGCUGCUCUUUACAUUGAAACUCUUCAUGGACUUUACCAUAUGUAUUAAAUGAAUUAAAUGAGGCCAAUUCAAUGAACAGUUUGAAGACAAAAUAAUUUUCUAUAAAUGAUAAUCAACAAAAUUAGGUUGGGAGUGCCUUCUUGGAAAUAUUCACAUUAUCUUCCCAUCAGGCCCCAUCUCCUAAUAAAACGUCAGCUAUAAUGCCCCUAUAAUCCAGUCACCUUCCAAAGGUUUCCUAACUUAGGAUUUCAUGAGAUGGGACACCAUUAUCUGAAUAUUUAGGGGACACCUAGUUAUAAACCAUAAACUCAAAACUGUAACAAAGAUCAAAAGGUGUAAAAUUAGUAUCUUUACUUUUUUCCUUUUUCUUAGUAUGUUUAUUUUCCUUUAGUGCAGAUCAUAUUGUAUUCUUAGUGAAGAGAAUGUAUUGUGUUUGGAAAAUAACUGAUCACUUCUGGACUGAAUUGAAAAUUUGCAGCCUCGUAAUUAGGAGUCAGACAUCUAUUUCCUUGAAAAAAUCUUCCACCUGAGAGCUGAAUAACUUUGCUUCUGCUUGCCCUUAUUUUCAUAUGAGUCCUUCAGAAAACAACAGUCUUACCGUGAUACUCUGGAGAGAUGCUUAGUGUCAGAGGUAGCAAUUUUGGUUACCAUAUAUUAUUAUUAUUAUUAUUAUUUAAUAACAGAAGCUAUCAAGAUAGUAUAAAAGUGGUAUUCUGAUUCUUGUCUUCAGAAAGUACCUGUCCCUUAUGCACAGGAAAGAAUUUCAAAAUAUCUUAAUAAUUCUAUGGGUUCCUUUUCUCCUAGCAGGAUCAUCUAAGAAAGAAGAUGCAACAUUUUCACUUACCUCACCUCCGAUGGCGAAAAAGAAAAUGUUAAAAAAGGGUCAGUAAAUCUGCUAUGUUUUUAGCUUUUUUCUGUUUUUUUAGUGAAAAAAAUAAGUUGUAAAAGUUAUGGAGUCAUAUUACAAGAAGUUUGGAAAAUAGAGAAAAGGGAAAAAAAAACUAUGUUUUGUUGUUGUUUUGUUUUAAUGUCUUCUCCUGUUGUAUUUGUUUUACAAAGAUCAAAAUAUGAUGCCAGGGUCAUUACUCCUGAAUAGCAGAGGUAUUUAUUCUAGUGAAGGCAC
rnacentral:lncRNA from 1 species